GCACUUGGUUUGGUUCUGAACUUGUGAAGUUCUGAUCUGAGUGGCGUUGCAGGGGAGCUGGGAGGGCCGGUGAUGGUGGCGGAGGCGCGGACGUGCGAGUCGAGGAGCCACAGGUUCAGGGGGCCCUGCGUGCGCAGGUCCAACUGCGCCAACGUCUGCAAGACCGAGGGCUUCCCCGACGGCAAGUGCCGCGGAUUCCGACGCCGCUGCUUCUGCACCACCCACUGCCACCAUUAACAAGCCUCUCUCCUCCGGGUGAUGCCUUCUUCCGCCUCGGCCUUCAGGGUGGCCUUUCUGCGAGCGUCCGUGCGUGUGCGUGUCCAUGAAUAAAUCUUAGCUUGUCUCGGCAAGCUGGGUGCGAGUCCCUUGUUUGUUUUUUGUAUGAUUAUUACCAGUGUGCAUGCGUUGUUGUUUCUUGUUGGGUUUAUGGGAUUAUCCCGGCCGGUCAAUCCUUCUCUCAUGUAGUAAGAUUUUAUUUUGGGCAAAUCAUGAAUGUUGUAUGCUUGUUCUCUCAGGCACUCACCCGCUCUGUAUACAAUUGGACAUGCAUGUCACAUGGUACCUGUAGGUGUUGUGUGCAUACUACACUUCCGUGUGAUCGCGCCAUGUGCAGUGGCAGCUUUUUUUUUUUUGAGACAAAUGUGCAGUGGCAGCUGACACCCGGCGUUACGCAUGCGCAAGGACCGCUGCUAGACCUGAGCAUUUCUUGGGCCGGGCUUUAAAAAGCCCAGCCCCGCAAAUCUAAUCCUGAGCCAUGCCCGGUCCAGAAUAAACGAACACUAAUCCUCAAAAGCAUAAAAUAAAAAUAAAAUAAACGAACACUAUUCUAUUUUUCUAUCCUUUUUCGGGUAAUGAAUAGUACUUAUCUUCUAUUGAAAUUAAUUAAUUUUGUCAUUUUCAAAAUAUAUUCAUAUAUUAGUAUGUUUUAGAAUGAAAUCAUAUUUUUAAUACUAGCACAAAUGCCCAUGCGUUACAGCGGGAGAGAAAAAACACCACAUCACUAACCCAAUGACCCAUCACGAGACAUGACGACAUCAACAAACUCCUUGAAAUCCUCCACGCUGCCACGAGAGAAACAACAUGUAAAGAUGUGUUGCGAAAAAACUUAAUCCUGUUAGUAUUUCAUAAAUGUACUAUAGGUGCAUGCAAUUUGAACCACAUAAAUAUCUACCUAGUUGUGUGUAUCUCCGAACGUCUUUGAUGGUAUUGCUUAGUGAUGCCCAAUAAAUAUCAUAUUAUAUCAAAAAAUGGUAAAGUGCAUUUUAGUACAACGUCCUUGUUUUACUAUGGAGGUGACACCAAUUUCCAUGAACCAGUGUCGGCCAAGUUCAUGGACUUGGUAGCGGAGCACAGUUCGUGUCACAUGAUAUUAGGAGAGUUGUACAAAGAUCCUUCAUCUCUGGCUAAUAUAAUAAAGAAAAGUGCGGAGUUUGUGUCACAUAUAGCUGGGGCUCCGAGUCGGACUCUUAGUACUUUGGUGACGGGCGCUAGUGGGUUGAGCAAAAAAUAAGAGAAAAUAUUUGCUCAGUUGUUAGGAAAACAUAGCACAUGACCAAAAAUGAAGAGUUCUAUUUUAUGAUUUAAUCAUAUAUUUUUUGGGGUGUUACAGUUAAUAUUUUGCUCUUGAGUUAAACAAUUCCAACACAUCGAAUAUUAGUAUCACAAUAUCGCAUCUUAAUUCCUGACAUCAACAAUUCAGAUAUAUAGAAAUAGUUCACCCAUGGCAUGUGCGCGUAACACAACGCCUAGCAAUUCAGCUACAAAAAAGCGGUUAAACAAAUUUAGAAACAAAGAAAAAGUCAUCAGUUCAGUAAUUGAAUAAGCCUCAGACCAUGUAGAAAAACUAUGAUAUUUUCUAGACAUAAUUACCAAUGGUCCUCAAUUAAACCACCAAAGAAAACAAUUGUACGGUUAGUAAAGAUGAACAUUCAUAUUUUAGUAAUCAUGACUAACCUAUGAGGGGCAUAUGUUAUAGGUGGGUGGGAUGAUGAUCCCACGGCAGAAGAUGGAAUCAAAUGGUCAAAAAUUUAAACUGUCUCAAGUGUCAUACAAAUUUAGUUCAGUUUUUACUAAAAACAAUCUAAUUAAUUAGUCCGAGAGACUAAAUGCUUUAGUUUUUAACAAUUGGGGGUAAAUGACCAUUUGUAAACAUUUGAUAUAGUUGAAAUUGUGAGCACACGAAAGGACGGAAAAUAUUUUUUUUUCAAGAAAUCUACACUUCAAUUUUUUUACCAUUUGGCAUAAAGCCAAAGGCAACUGCAAGAUUUGUUCCUUUAAAAACUUUACUUGUCUGACGCCGUGUGUGGGCUUCUUAUUGAUCUUCUAAUCAGCAUCUCCUUGAGAGAUCCAGCGCUUGGUAUGACGUUGUUUAAUUGGCAAGUGCUCCAACGCAUGCAUCCCACUUUCCUUCUUUACGUUUCCUUCUACUUUCUUUCUCUCUCCUCCUAUUUUUUCCUCUUUCCUCUUUAUUAUUUCCUUAUUUUUUCUUCCUCUCUCAUUUAUUCUUUCAUUCUAUCAGUUUCUUACGCAUGCAUCCCUCUUUCCGUAUUUAUUUCUCCUUUCUAUUUUCUUUCUCUUUCCUUUAUUCUUUCCUCCAAUUUCCUCUGUAUUUUCCUGUCACACCUGAAAUCCCUAAUUCCUUCUUCAUUCUUUCUCUUUCCUUCCUUAUUACGGUACAUCUAUUUCCUUAUUAAUUCCCGAGACGCCUUCUUAAUGGCUAGAAAAAUCCAGGGCGUAUCUCUAUCUCUACUACCUAAAAGAAACAGAGUGUUCCGUUUCCCCUCUUACGUUGCCCCCUCUUCGUCCAACCUCUCGUACGACCCCCUCUCCUUUGUAGCGAUUUUCUUUCCCCCUGCACCGGUUUUCUCCCUGCCGGUUUUAUCAUCAUCACGUAAGGUAACCAGACGCAAUCAAUUUGUCACUGGAUGGAAUGUUUAGUAUACGAUACAAUACAAUAAAACGGAGCGAUAUCUCUGGCGAUUUUCUUGCUCCCGAUAUUUCUGCAUGCGAUAGUGUAAUGGUGCUAGCAUCAGAAGGAGGCAAUCACGUGUAUGUAGGGAAUAUAAUCACGGAGAUUGCAGGGCAGUUAAGGCCGUGUCUCACAUGCAGGAAGGAAUUCCCGAAUUCAGCGGAAGAGAAGACGACGUCUGCCUCAAGAUCGCCUCAAGAUCGUCCUCUAGAUCACAUGCAGGAAGGAAUUCCCGAAUAAACAAGUUUUGUUUUUUUCGGACAAACCAGGAUCAAUCUUUGGUAACACAUUCAAUUCUCACAUGGUAAUCAAUCUCUUCUUUGUCAAUGCAUAACGCAAUCAAUUCUCACAUGGUGAUCACGGGCAUAUUCUUCGCUUCCUUAUCUUGGUUUAUUUCUUGCCUUUUCUGCGUGCUGAUUUUUUCUCUCCAUAAAUAUCUCUCCCUUCCUUAUCUAGGGUACCUGCAUCGUGGAUAUAUAGGAUCCCGCUCGCACCGCGCCGGGAGGCCACCAUCCUCCUCGAGGAGAAUCGGCCGGAGCACCAUGACCAAGGUAAAAUCAUGGUGUUGUCCAGUACUCGCCUCGAGUCUACAACAACAAUGCAGGACACUAGAGGCCCACCUAACCCGCAUCGCCUCUGCGCACCUACGUUGAUUGUCGCCGCAGAGCCCUUUUCUCCAAGUAGACGGCGGCGCGACAGAGGUCCUCAAUGUUUUAUAAUUUUCUGCUGUGUUUCGUAUCUGCUUGAUUGCCAUUUGUAAUGUACUUUUUCCUUGGUAUUUUUUUUGAAACGGAGGCAAAAGCUUUGCCUCAUCCAUUAAAUAAGAGAGAAUAGAGUUUGUUACAAAUCACCCACGACACCACAUGGAUUAUUACUCUCGCGAUAUGAAAGACCCUAAUUUUUUUGCACCGGCGGUGACCCAAAGGUUGGCCUCGGUCGAGAUGGUGUUAAGCAAGAUAGUCGGUGGAGCGCUUUUAAACCUAAACACUCUUGCAUUUCGCUCAUUCCAAAUUGUCCAUGUCACAAGCAUGGUGAGCGAGGCUUUGGCUUGACGGUUUGGCGUGCCGGCGUCACAAGUGCUUGUCCACCAAGCGUUGACGGAGUCCAACAAGCGCCAUGAAGAGGUGACCAACCCGAAGAUGUGAAAUUUUUCAAUGACCAACGCCCACAACCUUAGAGUAUAGCGGCACUUGAAGAAUAGGUGUGACCCGCUUUCUUGCACCCUCUUGCAAAGUGGACACAAACCACAAUUUGGCCAUCCUCUCUUGGCUAAUCUGUCUGCGGUCCAAAUUCUAUCUUGAAGUGCCAACCAAGCAAAGAACUUUACUUUGGGGGGACCCCAGACCUUCCAAACCAUUUGGUCCAUGGGUGAAAACACCAUCCCUAUGAAUUGCGCCUUAUAUGCCGAGGCCGCCGAGUAGUGCCCACUAGUCGUGUGUUUCCAUAAAAUGUCGUCCUCGGCGAGCACAUCAAGAUGCACCUCAUCCAAUAGCAUCCAAAGGGUGAAAAAUUGUGUGAUGAACUCAACGGAAAUAAUGGUUGGAGGCUUGAUCUUGAGCAUCCACGCGUUGUGCUUGAUGGCCUCGCGCACUUUCCACUUCUUUCGCGAGGAGACUUCGAAUAUUAGUGGCGCAAUGUUCUUCGGCUUGCGCCCAAGAAGCCAAGGUGAUUCCCAAAAAGGUGUCUUCGCACCAUUGCCCACGGUGAUAGUGGUAGACGCAUAGAAAAAGUUAAGGUCCUCCUCAUUGCACGGGUUGCCCAUCCCCACCCACAACUUGGUGGGCUCCUUCCAUUCAUACCAAGGCCACCGCAGCCGCAGAGCACGCGCGAACUUUUCCAUGUUGAGUACCCCAAGCCCCCCAUACUCAACUGGCCUACAGACAAUUUCCCAAUUCACCUUGCAUUUCGCCCCCGUCGUGUUGUCCGAGCCAGACCAUAGGAAAGCUCUCUCGAGCUGGUUGACUUUGAAGAGGAUACUUGGUGGGAUGAUCAACGGUGUGAUGAAGUAGAUCACUUGGGAAGUGAGAACAGACUUGACAAGGGCCAUGCGCCCAAUGGUGGUGAUGUUUUGGCCCUCAUACGUUGUCAACUUGGAUGCAACCUUGUCCACAAGAAAUUGAAGAUCCACUAAUCUUAGCUUCCAAACAGAGAGGGGGAGCCCCAAGUACCUCAAGGGGAAAGAAGCCCUAGUUGCCGGCAGAUUUUGAGUGAUAUGAUCAAAGUCAAGAUUAUUGCAACGAAUGGGCACCAUCGAACUCUUAUGAAAGUUGGUGCAAAGUCCCGUGACCUCGCCAAAUCCUCUCAAAAUAUUAGCAAGAUUGUCAACAUCCUUUUUGAUCGGAGCCAGGAAGAUGGCUGCAUCAUCCGCAUAAAGGGAGGUUCGCAUCAUGGCACCCCUACCCCGAAUUUUGUGGAGGAGCCCCUUUCGCGUAGCCACAUCAAGGAUUCUUUGGAGCGGGUCAAUGGCGAUGACGAACAGGAGCGGGGAGAUGGGGUCCCCUUGCCGGAAACCACGACCAUGCUUGAUUGGGUUGCCGGCAAUGCCAUUGAGGAUAAUCCUCGAUGAUGAAGAACUAAGAAGCGCCGUGAUCCAAUCCCUAAACUUGCUUGGGAAACCUCGCCGUUGGAGAAGGUCCAGUAUAUAUUCCCAUUUGACCGAGUCGAAUGCCUUGCGAAUAUAUAAUUUGAAAAGGAGGGAUGGGGUCUUGCUCUUGUGCAGGCGUCGUGCAAGAUUGCGAACAUACAUGAAGUUAUCAUGAAUACUUCUCGUUUUGAUGAAGGCGCUUUGGGCAUUGGAGAUGAGGGCCGUCAUGUGCGGAGUGAGCCGAGUGGAGAGCACCUUUGCAAUAAUCUUGGCGAUCGCAUGGAUAAGACUAAUAGGCCUAUAGUCCGCAAUCCCCUCCGCCCCAUCCUUUUUUGGCAAGAGCACCACAUUCGCAGAGUUGAGCCAGUGGAGGUUCAAAGUGUGGAGGGAUUCGAAACGAGCAAUGGCCCUCAUGAGGUCGUGCUUGACAGUGCCCCAACACUUUUUGAAGAAUAGGCCCGUGAAUCCAUCCGGACCCGGGGCCUUGUCAUUUGGCAUGUCGUUGAUUGCUUGAAGAACCUCCAUUUCGGUCAUUGGAGAGUCAAGGCCAUGCAUGUCAAGGCGUUCCAUAUUGAGCUCCUCCCAAUUGAAAUCUUUUGAAAUUUUUCCUUGGUAUAGUUACGGGGAUCUGCAUGAUGGCAAGCUAGCCUGCAUGAUGCAGUCAUGUAAGAUACGUGCAAUGGCCUGAUGGGAGCUAGCUUGUUUCUUAAUUGCUUCAUUGUUCAUCUUCCUCUUUGUCAGGGUCAUCCCAUGAAUAUAUUGAUUAUAUUUCUCAAAAAAAUCAGGCUCUCAAUACGCACUGAUUAUUCUCUGUAUUGCAGAAAACGUAAAUCAUUUGCGAGCUAGAAGGAACUCAUCAUUCUAAGUCUCCGGUUGUACUCUUAGUUAGGUCAGAAAAAAAUUGUAACUAUCCUUUUAAGACUAGCACUAUUUAUAUUCCCAUGCUUUUUCGAGCAUAUACUAUCUGAGUUGGUUAAUUCUUUUCAAAACUUUCUUCUUUUUAAGUUGUGAUGCAAUGCCACUGUCCAUUGUUUUGGUCACAAGAAUUUAUUAUUUAGUUUUUUUGGAACGAAGGCUCCAGAAGAGCCCGGCUUUGAAUUAACAAAGCCAUCAACCGGCCAGGACUUACAACGACCCAAACAACAAGAAAGAAAACAAAGAAAACUGAAAACGGCAGAUACAAGGUGCUUCCAAACAGCUUACACACACCACAACAGAGAGCACAAGGAUAUUCUACCGGAAGUCUAGCUAAAUGUUGAUGGAGCUCUUCGACGCGAAUUAAGCACCAAAACAGUGACAGCAAGCGAGCUUCAAGAGGAAAUCACGCUCAGCAAAGAUGAACAUGCCCUCAUCAAACCCAAAGGAGACCACCAUCAUCGAACCUUCCUUCUUCAAUUCCGAAGGGGACCCCUGCCCCUCGCCCUGGAUCGAAGGGCGCCGGGCCGUCGCAAAUUGAAGCAGCUCACCCUAGAGCAAGGAGCGGUAGAUUCAGUAUCGCCUUGGGAGAUACUCAGUGUGACCAACCCACUAUGCAAGAUCACCAAGAGAAGGGCCAAACCGCAGCUCAAUGGUCACCACACGAAGAGAAGAAGCUGUAGAAGGACGAGGGCAACGAAGAAACAAUCGCAGAGUUGAUAAACACCUGAAGCUGAGACAUGACUUUUGCUUAGAUUAGAAUCCAUGUCUGAAUCGCCUAUGCCGUGCUGCUGCAUGCAGGGGAGAGGAACCCUAUCCCCUCCCCCCACCAUGGCAACACACAAACGGCCGGCCUACGGACACCCCAGAGAGCUAAUAUUGUGAAAAAUCUCAGUGUUAUCUCCAACUGAGAUGUCGCUGCGCGCCGGAGAACCACAUCUAAACGCCAAUGAACAUCCCCAACUCGCCCAAGACGACACCUUCAGGAAGGUGACGACGCAAGCCGCGCCGCUGCCGCCUAGACCAGAACUGGCAAAGGUUUUCACCCGGGUAUGAGAGGGGAGGGAGAGGGGAUCGAACCUCGACGGCGCCUUCGAGAAGGGGAACGAUGCCAGCCGGCGUCACCGCCGUCGUGGCUGGAAAAGCCGGUCAAAGAUUUCUCCCGGUCCGAGCUCUCAACUCCGGCAACCCCACUUUCAACGGAUCCGGCGACCGACGCCCGCCACGACCCAGAUCCAGCGAGGAACAGGCAAGGGAAGGGGGAGGAAGAAGACCUCCAGAUUUGACGCACAGCCAGGGGCACGAGGCCACCCGCCUCGACCAUCGCACAACGCCUCAACCACUCACCGCCCGCACGGCCAAGUGGGGAGGAGGAGCACCAGCAGACGCUGCUCGCCGCAAAGCAGGCGCCGCCGCACCAUCCGAGGCCACUGCCUCGGCUACAUAGGCCCUCCGCGUGGAGACGGAGCGGCACGGCCUCGCCGCCACCUUCCCUGGCAGGUNNNNNNNNNNNNNNNNNNNNNNNNNNNNNNNNNNNNNNNNNNNNNNNNNNNNNNNNNNNNNNNNNNNNNNNNNNNNNNNNNNNNNNNNNNNNNNNNNNNNNNNNNNNNNNNNNNNNNNNNNNNNNNNNNNNNNNNNNNNNNNNNNNNNNNNNNNNNNNNNNNNNNNNNNNNNNNNNNNNNNNNNNNNNNNNNNNNNNNNNNNNNNNNNNNNNNNNNNNNNNNNNNNNNNNNNNNNNNNNNNNNNNNNNNNNNNNNNNNNNNNNNNNNNNNNNNNNNNNNNNNNNNNNNNNNNNNNNNNNNNNNNNNNNNNNNGGCUAGGGUUGCGUCGCCGCCCGCGUCGCCCCGUGCGGACCGAGAAAAGUUAUUUGUAUGUAUGCGAUGAUUCGAAUUUAUUAUUUAGUCUAGCAUGGUCUUAUGUAUUUGCAUGAUUGUGCCCAGUAUUAAGGUUAGUUUCCUGAUAAAUGAAAAAAGGGCUUGUUUGGCUAUUAAGAUACAUAAUAACAUGAUGAGGCCAUGCUUGUGCAUCAUCAGUUCAUCACUAAUAAUAUUCAUUGUGGCCAUGUAUGUAUAUUAUUUUGGAAGAAUAAUAAUUGGGAAAAUAUUUGUCGAGGACAAUUGGAGAGAAGGAUUGAUGACAAUAUUCCAUUCAUGGCGAGCCAAAAGUAGAAUGAGGGCAGAACAUGCAUUUGCAUGUGUGGUAACUCAGGGAAAGAUAAAUGGAUUAUUUAUUUAUAUGUGUCGUUUGAGCUAUACAUAUCUACAUUUCUAUGGCAACGCAUGGGCAAUUACCUAGUAUAAAUUAGAAAGAUUGGAUUUAAGCGAGCAAUGUAGGACUAUUUAAUAGGCUUAUCAACGUUACAAUAUCACACAGUUUGAGCUGUAUGAGUCGGUCGUGACAAUUGUUGUUGUACAUGAGGUUGAGAGUUCGAGGUGCACACCAGGCACUAUUUUUUUUUUCACUGGGCCGCCUUGCUGGGCCCGAACAAUUUGGCCUAUCCCAAUAGAAGCACCUGUGCGUGGAAAAUCAUAAACAAAAAAUAGUACCACCUUGGAUAAUAAAAAAUCUUUAAAAAAUAAAUAAUAAUAUGGGUGAACGGAUGAAAAAAGUUGGCGAAACACACCUGUUUUAUUAGUAGGUAUAGGUAUAGAUAUAGAUAUAGAUAUAGAUUUAGAGCCAUAAUAUAGGCUCAGAAGCUCACAUUCACUAUAUUACGUGGCAAUUUCCAAAGAGAAAAAACCCAAGUGUGCUAACAUUUUUUACGGAAGAUAUUUCUUUCCAUUUCAUUAACGAAACCCCCGCAUGUCCUUACAAGAUACAAACUGCUAAAAGAGCCAUGAAGGCCUUUAAUUUGAAAUUUUCAAAAUCCUAUUUUUUCAGUUUCACAAAAUUCUGAAAAACAACACAGAUGUAUGCAAGGAUGUAAUGUGUUUGUGUGUAAAAUUUCAGUAUGAAAUUUCUUGAUUUACGAGCUGCAAAAAAAUUAUGGACUAUGAGGAUGAACAAUACAUAUGCUAAAAGCCCUAGGUUAGCCCAGGCAAAGGAAACAGAUACUAUCUUUCUCUCAGUUUACAGGGCGUGUGCGUGCCCCUAGAUCGUCAAUUUGACCAACCUAAUACAAGUCAUAUAUUAUAAAAAAUAUACCAAUAUAAACUUCAGAUGUUCUAUUUUCAAAUCGUAUAAUUUUUGUGUUAUAUAGUUUAUAUUAAAAUGAUAAAAUUAACAAUCUAGGUAUACACGUAGGACUUGUAAAUUGAAACGGAGAUAGUAGAUCAAUUUUUUACUUCACUUACCAAGGAGAUUAGUUAUCUUAUGAAUCUUCGUACUUGUUGUAUUACUCAUGUAGCCCGCUUACAAAAUAGAGUUACUGAUAGUCUAGCAAAUUUUGACGAAGAACCAUGCCUUGGGUAGGUUCUGGCCUGAUGAGUCUCUAGCGCUAGCUGCUGAUCAGCUGAUGAUUGUAAGGACUUGGUGAAUUGAGUAAUACAAUUAUUUCACCUGAAAAAAAACUCAAAACAUGUGGUCAACGGUGGACUCUUUUGUUUCGCAGGAACAUGAGAAUUAUUAACGCGCAGUAAUAUCUUUGAACAUCGAUAAGUGCCACACGUGUGGACGUUAGGAGAUCUGCUCACACAUUUUGUGUGAUGUAUAAGAGGAACAACCCAUACACCUACGUGUGGGCAAAAACAAGUAAUGUUCACACAUCUUUUUUUUCCUCCUGAACCCUUUCAUACGCGUGCGUGUGGGCGAAAUAGAUAACGCACACACGCCCCGUACGUCAGGCCUCGUACCACGUGGUCCCGCACGUCCCGCGUGACAGUCACCGCGCGUCCGCAGUUGCCAUGGUCCAGACCCUCGUCCAUGUUCGUUUAACUGCAGUUGCCAUGUCGCUGAACUACGGUUGCCAUGUCAGACAACUACAGUUGCCAUGGUUGCUCAACUGCAGUUGCCAUCUCAUGUCAAAAGUUCCAGAUGUCAUUUUUAGGCAACUGCGGUUGUUGCCAUGUAUGGUCUGAUUUACUAUAGUUGCCAUGAUUUGAAAACGUUAGGAGCUUGCCACCUACUAACACUAGACAGUUGCCAUGUAUGGUCUGGUUUUACUACAGUUGCCAUGAUUUGAAAACCUUAGGAAUUGCCACCUACUAACACUAGGCAGUUGCCGUGUAGCGCUACAAAAAGACAUGGCAAAACAACAUGUUCGGGUAAAAAAGAGAGAGUUGCCAUCUGCUUACAAGCACACUAGGGCAGUUGCCGUGUACCCUGCAAAAAACAUGGCAACUGACAUGUUCGGGUAAAAAAAAAGUCGCCACCUGCUUAUAAAGCACACUAGGGCAGUUGCCAUGUACACUACAAAACACAUGGCAAGUGGCAACUUGGGUGUGGGAGAUGAGAUGGGCGUGUGGGCGAGAUGACAAAUGCCCACACACCAGCCCUUAUGCGUGAGUGGAAAGUGUCGUGUGGGCGAACUGCUGAACGCCCACACACCGGCCCCUCUCAUGUGAUGAAACGGCCGUGUGGACGAUCGGGUGUAUGCCCACGCACCAGCCCAGUCCUACGUGGCACUAGAAACAUGCCAAGAUUCGUGCGCUUACAAACGGACGCGGAUCCACGUGUGUGGGCGAGAUGCAAACGCCCACACGUGUGGGUGUUAAUAUUUUCGAUAUCUUUACAAUCAUGAUUGAGAAACUCAGCAAUAAACAAAGGGGCCUCAAGCAGCCAAGCAUUGUCCUCUCUCUACACCCGCUCCUAGCACUAGCAGCUCAUGCAAGUUGGUGAUCUGCUCAGUGUCCUCCUCUGUUUCACAAGCCUGAACCGAAAUUCAGGAAGUUCAGCCGCAGUAUCUUUAAGAGCAUCUCCAGCCGCAUCCCAACAAGCCCUCUUCAGAUUUUUUCCGCGUCGACGCCCAAAAAAUGGUCCAGUCGUGUUUCAGGAGUUCGUUUUUCACCGACUUGGGCUGAAAUUGACGCCGGCGUACCCAGACCAAACCUGGCCCGGUGGGGGGGUGCCCGGGGCGCCGGGGCGAGCGUUUUUGACGCGAAAGAACUACGGGCCAGCCGCGUCAGCGAGACGCGCCUCAUCUUCCCCCCAGAACGCCUAGGUUUCCCACGGGGAAUCAAUGGCAAGGCUGCCGCCGGUCAGCCUUGCCAUUGAUUCUUCACAGGCGGCACGUCACGGGCGGCGCGACGACGCCUCCCCUCCCGCCACGCGUACACACAGUGUGGGCUAUAAAACCCGCCUCUCUCCCCGCCGUUGGCCAUACCAGCCUGAGCCCAAACCAGCCGCCGCGCCGCCGAGCUCCCCCGUCUCCGCUCUCUCCCGUCCGCGCCGCCGAGCUCCCCCGUCCUCCCCUUCCCCGGCGAUGGCCGAGCGCUUCCCAGGCGACGCCGCGGCGGCCAACGGCUUCGGCCGCCGCUCGCUCCAGGAGUGGGAGGGGUGGCUGCUUUUCGAGGCCAACAUCCCGACGCAGCCGGACAUGCGCGCCGGGCCGAUGGGGUGGAGGCUCAGCAACGGCGACGUCCCCAUCCCCUCGGUGCUCGACGUCGACGCGCCCCGGCGUUUUUGCCGCCGAGGUCGACCACGUGCGGGCGUCCCUCACGGAGGAACAACGCAUCCUCCCCCAAUACGCCGCCGACAACCACACGGCGUGGGUGGACUACUUCCAGUGAUGGCAGGCGCAGCGGCUGGCGUCCACGAACGGGGCGCCGGUGGUCGGCGGCGUCAAGAACAGCAACGACCGCCGCGUCUGGUGGGGCGUCCCAGGCCGCACGCUCCACGAGGUGCUAGAGUACCUCGAGGGCGGAAAUAACCCGCCGCUGGCAUACCCUGCCGCGGCGGCCAUCCCGCCUGAUGAUGCUAUGUACCUAGGGUAGGGUCAUAGGCCUGACUUAGACGCCCUCCCCAAGGUCAUCGCCCUAAAGCCAGAAGCACUCGAAGGGUACCAUCAUCCACUCGACCAGAGACAUUCCACUCGGAAAAAUCAAUGACACUCGACCGUCAUAGUAACCACUCGACGUACAGAAGACCUAAAACCACUCUACACAACAACGGUCGGGCGUUUACUCAUAGACUUAAUUAUCAUUUAUAUCACUUAAUUGCUGGCGUUACCAGUAACGUUCCACUCUUAAUGUACAUUGAAUCCUAUGUAACGGCGGAGAGCUGGGGUCCUGGCGCACUCUAUAUAAGCCACUCCCCUUCUCUGGGACAAGGGUUCGCAUCCUUUUGUAAACACACACAUAUACACAAUCCAGUCGUCUGCCUCCGGGCACCAAGACGUAGGGCUGUUACUUCCUCCGUGAAGGGCCCGAACUCAUAAACUCGUGUGUACAACUACUCCAUAGCUAGGAUCUUGCCUCCUCACACCUACCCCCAUUCUACUGUCAGUCUUAGACCCACGACAGUUGGCGCCCACCAUGGGGCAGGUGUCUUAGCAGUUUGUUGGAGAAGUUGCAAUUUUUCCGAUUCCCAUCAUCAUGGUUUCUGGCGAAGGAUUGGCUGAGGGCCGUGAGAUCCGUCUUGGCGCACUCGUCUUCAUCGCCGACGGCUCCGCUUGGCUCCACGAGGCUCCACUCGACGUCGACGCGCUCCCCAUCUGCGGGGUGACGCACUUCCGCGCGUGCGUUCGCGGCGUCCUUAUUUGACAUCCGUCGACUCAGUAUUAGUCGGCUCCUACGGCGUCCUCGCUCCCCGCUACUCGCCGGCGCAAGCGAUUCGGUCGGUCACGACUUCAGCGAUGGGUGAGGCACGCGGUGGCCCGCCAAUCGGCCACCCAACAAAUCGCGGUGAUUGAGCCCAAUGAAACUCUCUACGGCCUGUUCGACCUAUCGACUGGCUCCGUCGAGACUGCAUCCGAGUGCGACAGCAGUGACCCCGCGGCGGAAGUCUUGAUGGUCAAUGGACCGCGCAGUCCUCCUGGCUUCCCUCACGCCAACGGUGGCAAUGGCGUCGGCGAUCCGUCGCGCGUCCACGAAGAGUACCACCCUGAACCCCUCUCUUCGCAGCAGAGGGAAGAUCUUCGCCGCCGCAAUGUGGAUGCACUUCACACUUCUAUUGUUGGAGAAACCCCCGAGGCCCGGGCCUUGGAGGAGGCGCGCCUAGCCAACUUGGCUGAGCGCACUCGACUGGAGAACCUCCAGCGCGCCCUCGACGAGCGUGCUCGGCAGCGGAUUCCUGAGUCCAGUCGACGCCAACUUUUUCUGCCCCCGACUCAGGUAUACCAAACUCCGAUCCUGAAUCUCACAGCUGCAGCCCGAAUAGCGGAGUCAAUUCAGCCUUCCCAGUCGGAAGCUAGCCGAGAUUUGAUGCAGAUCCGGGCUUUACUCCGGGCAGCAGGAGAGCAAAAUACAUCAGUAUCUCAGUCACGGAAUAGGAUUCAUAGCCGAUUUGUGGUGACAGACACUGUCCAAUCUGCUCACAGCCCAAGAUCGCCUCCGCGGCGUGAGGGACAUGGGCACCGGCAGGAUCAGUACAGGAACCAUGCGCAGUAUGAUCAUCGACUCGACCACGAUGACCGUCGUCGAGUGCCCACGCCUCCUCCGAGGAGUGGGUCAUACGUGCAUCGGCGGCAAGAGGACAGACGCCCCCAUAGCGGCGAACGAAGAAUUCCCGUCGACCCCAGAGAGCCAGGCUUUGAUGCGAGAUCUAUUCUCGUUCAAGGUCUGGUUGACAGGAACAUGGCACACACAGAGGGCCAUGAUAGAGAUUAUCGACUGGAAGCAGGGUGCAUGUUUCAGGUCCCGAGUGUUUCAGCAGAGCCAUCAGAGCAGCAGUGAUUCCUCCCAAUUCAGAUUGGCGACUGGAGUCAACAAGUUCACUGGAGAGUCCAAGCCUGACACUUGGCUUGAGGACUACCGAGUGGCUGUGCAGAUCGGUGGCGGCAAUGAUGAAGUGGCCAUGAAGCACCUUCCUUUGAUGUUGGAGGGCUCAGCCAGAGCGUGGUUGAAUCAGUUAGCACAUGGCAGUAUAUAUAGUUGGGAAGAACUUGCCCGAGUGUUUGUUAGAACCUUUGAAGGUACAUGCAAAAGGCCGGCGGGGUUGACAGAGCUACAGUCCUGUGUGCAGAAGCCGAAUUAAACUUUGAGAGAUUAUAUCCAGAGAUGGAUCACACUGCACCAUACAAUGAAGAAUGUGUCAGAUCACCAAGUAGUUUGUGCCUUCAAGGAAGGUGUUAUGUACAGAGAGUUGAAUCUGAAGUUCGGUCGGACAGGAGAUAUGUCCCUAAGCCGAAUAAUGGAGAUUGCCACCAAGUAUGCCAAUGGUGAGAAGGAAGAUCGACUCCGGAGUGGCAAGCACAAAACAGUCGCCCAAGAAACUGGAGGAGGGAAUUCCAGUCAGAAACAGAAGCACAAGGCCGAACCAGCUGCCCCUGGUGAAGCUUUAGUUGUGGCCCAAGGGAAAUUAAAGGGGAAGCCCAAAGGGCCCUGGACUCCCAAGAAAUUUAAAUAUCAAGAUGGGAAUGAUGUGUUGGAUUUACCAUGCCACAUUCGUACCAAAAAAGAUGAAGAGGGGAAUCUCAUUUACCCUAAGCACACCACUCGACAGUGUCGUCUCCUGAUCCAAUAGUUUCGAGAGAAACAAACCCAAGGAGAAGGAGAAGGAGUCAGACAAGGGUGAGGAAAGGGAAGAAGAUGAUGAUGGUUUUCCCAAUGUCAAUUCCACUCUAAUGAUUUUUGCUGAUGUUGAGAGCAAAAGUCGAUUGAAAGUUAUUAACAGAGAGGUGAACAUGGUUGCUCCAGCAACACCCAGUUAUCUGAAAUGGUCCCAGACUGCCAUCACAUUCGACCAGUCGGAUCAUCCAGCACAUAUAGCUACCCCUAGGAGGCAAGCGCUGGUAGUCGACCCUGUUGUUGAAGGCACUCGACUAACUAAGGUACUGAUGGAUGGUGGCAGUGGUCUAAAUAUCCUUUAUGCUGAAACUCUAAAAGGGAUGGGCAUUCCGAUGUCCAAGCUUAGCAAAAUAAAUAUGAGUUUUCAUGGAGUUAUACCUGGCAAGAAGGCCCAGUCACUCGGCCAGAUCGCUCUUGAUGUGGUUUUUGGCGAUUCCAAGAAUUACCGCAAGGAGAGGUUGACAUUUGAAGUGGUGGACUUCAAGAGUGCUUACCAUGCUAUUCUGGGAAGGCCCACUUAUGCACGUUUUAUGGCUCAACCAUGUUACGUGUAUCUCAAAUUGAAGAUGCCUAGUCCCAGAGGGGUGAUCACUAUCACUGGCAAUCGACAGAAGGCAGAAGAGUGCUUCCAGAAGGUCUCAAAAAUUGCCGAUGCACAAAUGGUAGUAGUAGAAUUGCAAGAGUACCAGAAAAAUGCAGAUCCGAGUGAUUUGCUGCGAGCUAAGAAGCCUGCCACAGACUCUGCAUUUCAGUCGUCUGGAGAAACGAAACCGGUUCAUAUCCACCCGACCGAUCCUAAUGCUGCUCCGACUCAUAUUUCAACGACACUCGACAUCAAAUAGGAAGAAGCGCUCAUCCAGUUCCUCCGUGAGAACUGGGACAUCUUUGCAUGGAAACCUUCUGACAUGCCAGGUGUACCUAGGGGACUGGCUGAGCAUCGUUUGCGAGUCGACCCGAAAGUGAAACCUGUCAAGGAACAUCUCCGACGGUUCGCCGUACAGAAGAGAAAAGCAAUUGGUGAGGAAGUGGCUCGGCUCCUGGCAGCUGAGUUCAUCCGAGAAAUCUACCACUCCGAGUGGCUCGCCAAUGUAGUCAUGGUCCCCAAGAAGGACGAUUCACUUCGCAUGUGCAUUGACUUCAAGCAUAUCAAUCGGGCCUUCCCGAAAGAUCAUUUUCCUCUCCCCCGCAUCGACCAAAUCAUCGACUCAACUAUGGGGUGUGAGCGUUUGUCUUUUUUGGACGCCUAUUCCGGGUACCAUCAGAUCCGACUGUAUGGACCCGAUGAGAUAAAAACGGCUUUCAUCACAUCAUUCGGAUGCUUCUGUUAUGUCACCAUGCCAUUAGGCCUAAAGAACACCGGAGCCACAUUCAUGAGGAUGAUCCAGAAGUGUCUGCUCACUCAAAUCAGUUAGAAUGUGGAAGCAUACAUGGAUGACAUUGUGUUCAAGUCACGUAAGGGUUUCGACCUGCUGGCUGACCUUGCUAAAACCUUUGCCCAACCUCAGAAGGUAUGAUAUCAAGCUUAAUCCAUUAAAGUGCACAUUGGGAGUUCCUGGCAGAAAGUUAGUCGGUUUCCUCGUUUCCGAACGAGGGAUCGACGCUAACCUAGAGAAAGUUGGUGCUAUACUUUGGAUGAAAUGCCCUGUGCGUGUGCAACAUGUCCAGAAGCUUACUGGUUGCUUGGCCGCCUUGAGUCGAUUCAUUUCUCGCCUCGGUGAAAAGGCAUUGCCUCUUUACCGACUGAUGAAGAAGUCUGAUAAGUUCGAGUGGACUCCCGAAGCUGAUGCAGCGUUUGCAGAGCUCAAAGCCUGCUUUCCACCCAGCCGGUGCUUGCUACACCAAUCAGCAAAGAGCCUUUACUGCUUUAUAUUGCAGCCACUGGACAAGUUGUCAGUACAGUACUCACGGUCGAGUGGGAAGAAGAAGGAAAAGCCUAUAAAGUUCAGCGCCCAGUAUAUUACGUUUCUGAAGUUCUGACUCCAUCGAAGCAAAGAUAUCUGCACUAUCAGAAGCUUGUUUAUGGGAUUUACAUGACCACGAAGAAGGUUGCACACUAUUUCUCUGAUCAUUCCAUUACAGUCGUCAGCGACGAUCCAUUAUCAGAGAUUCUGAACAACAGAGAUGCAACUGGUCGAGUGGCGAAGUGGGCGAUUGAACUCCUUCCCCUGGACAUCAAGUUUGAGGCAAAGAAAGCUAUCAAGUCCCAAGCAAUAGCAGAUUUCCUCGCCGAGUGGAUCGAACAGCAACUUCUGGCCCAAAUUCACUCGGAGCAUUGGACCAUGUUCUUCGAUGGCUCCAAGAUGCUGAAUGGAUCCGGUGCUAGGGUGGUGUUGGUAUCCCCUCGUGGUGACAAACUCAUCUAUGUUCUUCAAAUUCACUUUGACAUUUCCAACAACGAAGCCGAAUAUGAGGCACUCACGUACGGGUUGCGUAUGGCCAUUUCACUCGGCGUCCGUUGCCUCAUGGUCUAUGGCGACUCGGAUCUAGUGGUCAAUCAGGUGAUGAAGGAGUGGGAUGUCAGAAGUCCAGCUAUGACUGGUUAUUGCAAUGCAGUGAGAAAGUUAGAAAAGAGGUUUGAGGGGUUGGAGCUCCAUCACAUACCCCGACUGAAAAAUCAAGCAGCUAAUGAUCUAGCAAAGAUAGGUUCCAAGAGGGAAGCCAUUCCCAGCAAUGUGUUCCUGGAACAUAUUCAUACACCUUCAGUUCAAGAAGAUCCUUUCACUGAAGAGCCCCCGCAACCAAAGAGUGCCACUAAUCCGACUGAAAUCGAGGUCCCAGCCAUGGUCAAUUUGAUCAUGGAGGUUUUGGUCAUCACUCCCGAUUGGACAGUACCAUAUAUCGCGUACAUUCUUAGAAAAGAACUCCCAGAGGAUGAAGGAGAGGCUCGACAGAUCGUCCACCGAUCCAAAGCCUUUACCGUGAUAAGAGGAUAGUUGUUCGGAGAAAGUGCGACUGGAGUCUGCCAUAAAUGCAUAACACCUGAAGAAGGUCGAGUGAUCCUCAAUGACAUCCACUCGGGGACCUAUGGUCACCAUGCGUCCUCUCGGACCAUUAUGGCCAAAGCAUACCGAGCGGGAUUUUACUGGCCACGAGCAAAUGAGAUGGCAAAAGAAAUAGUCGACAAAUGUGAAGGUUGCCAGUUUUACUCCAACAUGUCUCACAAGCCUGCGUCGGCCCUGAAGACCAUUCCACUUGUCUGGCCUUUUGCUGUUUGGGGAUUAGAUAUGGUUGGACCUCUGAGGACUGGUAGGAGCGGAUUCACUCAUGUGCUUGUAGCAGUCGACAAGUUUACCAAAUGGAUUGAAGCCAAGCCUAUCAAGAACCUUGAAGCCAGCACUGCUGUCAGCUUCAUCAGAGAGUUAACAUUCAGAUAUGGUGUUCCACAUAGCAUCAUCACUGACAACGGGUUAAACUUCGAUUCUGAUGAGUUUAGGACUUUCCGUGCUUCUCAAGGUACUCGAGUCGACUAUGCUUCAGUCGCCCACCCCCAGUCGAAUGGGCAAGCUGAAAGAGUAAAUGGAUUGAUUCUCAAAGGACUGAAACCCCGACUGAUGCGUGAUCUCAAACACGCAGCAGGGGCCUGGGUCGAUGAACUUCCAUCGGUAUUGUGGGGACUGAGGACAACUCCCAAUCGGUCGAAUGGAAGAACUCCUUUUUUCUUGGUUUAUGGAGCCGAAGCUGUACUUCCGAGUGACUUGCUCCAUAAUGCGCCCCGAGUCGAGCUUUUCUCAGAAGAAGAAGUAGAACAGGCACGACAAGAUGUCGUUGAUCUCCUGGAGGAAGAAAGGGAGAUGGCCUUGAUCCGAUUGACCAUUUAUCAGCAAGAUCUACGUCGAUUCCACGCCAGAAACGUAAAGGGUCAAGCAUUUCAAGAAGGAGACUUGGUUCUUCGAGUGGAUCAGCAGAAACCACACAAGCUUGCGCCUUCGUGGGAAGGCCCCUUCGUUGUCACCAGAGUGCUCCACAAUGUAGCGUACCACCUCUAUAACGUCAAGCACAAGAAAGACGAGCCGCACGCUUGGAAUGCGGAGCUACUCCGCCCCUUUUAUACUUAAGCACUUAGUCUGUUGAGAUGUAAUAAGAAGCACAUUUGUAGUUUGUUUAUCAAAGACAAGAGUUUUAUAGUCUUCUAAAAUGAUUGUCGAUUACUUACGUUUGUGUCUAAAAUCCCCCAGUGGGUGGCUUAGCUGCGAAUCCGUUCGCCUAAGUAUUGAAAAUCCUACCGAGUGGCGAGCAAGUCUCUCACUCGGGGGCUUAGCUGCAGUCCAGCACUCGCCUAAGUAUUAAAAAUCCUACCAAGUGGUGAGCAAGUCUCUCACUCGGGGGCUUAGCUGCAGUCCAGUACUCGCCUAAGUAUUGAAAAUCCUACCGAGUGGUGGGAAAGUCUCUCACUCGGGGGCUUAGCUGCAUUCCAGCACUCNNNNNNNNNNNNNNNNNNNNNNNNNNNNNNNNNNNNNNNNNNNNNNNNNNNNNNNNNNNNNNNNNNNNNNNNNNNNNNNNNNNNNNNNNNNNNNNNNNNNNNNNNNNNNNNNNNNNNNNNNNNNNNNNNNNNNNNNNNNNNNNNNNNNNNNNNNNNNNNNNNNNNNCUAAAUAUUAAAAAUCCUACCGAGUGAUGAGAAAACCUCACACUCGGGGGCUUAGCUGCAGUCCAGUACUCGCCUAAGUUUUAAAAAUCCUACCGAGUGAUGAGCAAACCUCACACUCGGGGGCUUAGCUGCAGUCCAGUACUCGCCUAAGUAUUAAAAAUCCUACCGAAUGAUGAGCAAACCUCACACUCGGGGGCUUAGCUGCAGUCCAGUACUCGCCUAAGUUUUAAAAAUCCUACCGAGUGAUGAGCAAACCUCACAUUCGGAGGCUUAGCUNNNNNNNNNNNNNNNNNNNNNNNNNNNNNNNNNNNNNNNNNNNNNNNNNNNNNNNNNNNNNNNNNNNNNNNNNNNNNNNNNNNNNNNNNNNNNNNNNNNNNNNNNNNNNNNNNNNNNNNNNNNNNACUCGCCUACGUAUUAAAAAUCCUACCGAGUGACGAGCAAACCUCACACUCGGGGACUUAGCUGCAGUCCAGUACUCGCCUAAGUAUUAAAAAUCCUACCGAGUGAUGAGAAAACCUCACACUCGGGGGCUUAGCUGCGGUCCAGUACUCGCCUAAGUAUUAAAAAUCCUACUGAGUGAUGAGCAAACCUCAUACUCGGGGGCUUAUCUGCAGUCCAGUACUCACCUAAGUAUUAAAAAUCCUAUCGAGUGAUGAGCAAACCUCACACUCGGGGGCUUAGCUGUAGUACAGUACUCGCCUAAGACGACGAGAUGCAGGUCGACUGCAACUCUCUCCUCGGAGUUGCACCACAAAUACAACAUGCGCUCCAUCCCCAUCCGCAAAGAUGACGAAGUGCAGGUCGAAUGCAACCUUCACCUCGGAGCUAAGCCACAAGUACAACAUGCACUCCAUCCCUAUCCGCAAGGAUGACGAGGUGCAGGUCGACUGCAACUCUCUCCUCGGAGCUACGCCACAAGUACAAUGCGUGCUCCAUCCCUAUCCGUAAGGACGACGAGGUGCAGGUUGACUGCAACUCUCUCCUCGGAGCUACACCACAAGUACAACGUGUGCCCCAUCCCUUUCCGCAAGGACAACAAGGUGCGGGUCGACUGCAACUCUCUCCUCAGAGCUAUGCCCCAAGUACAACGCGCACUCCAUCCCUAUCCGCAAGGAUGACGAGGUGCAGGUCGACUGCAACUCUCUCCUCGGAGCUACGCCACAAGUACAACGUGCGCUCCAUCCCUAUCCGCAAGGACGACAAGGUGCAGGUCGACUGCAACUAUCUCCUCGGAGCUACACCACAAGUACAACAUGCGCUCCAUCACUAUCUGCAAGGAUGGAGAGGCGCAGGUCGACUGAGGUAUCUCCCUCAGAACUACAUUUCAAGAAAUAUUCUGAGUGAAGGAUAAGCUCUACUCGAAGGCAUGCAGAAGAUAAACCAAGAUCGGAUAAAACCUCAAAAGUUUCAGGAUGAAGAUAAAAGUACUUGGGCAUCAGGCCCGAAGGAGUUUAACGGUUACAAAAAUCACUCGGCAUUUCGAGGCAAAUUUAAAGGAAGUUUACGUAUCAAGUUUGUUCACUCAGCAGGAGGAGGGCUUGCAGGCUCGACGAACUCGUCCAAAUCGAUCCCGUCCGCAAUCCGAGUGGCAGCAACAAUGAAAGUCUCCAUGAAGGAUUGGAAGUCAUGCCUUUUGGUGUUGGCGACCUUGAUCGCCGCCAGCUUCUCUUCUCGAGCUUCUUUGCAGUGGACCCCAACCAGCGACAGAGCCACGUCAACGCCGCAUCGGGCAAAGGACUUCUUCCAUUCCUGCACUCGACCGGGGACCUCAUUGAGCCGAGUCAUCAGAGACUCGAGAUCAUUUUGAAGCGUUGCCCUUGGCCAGAGUGAUGAGUCGAUGCGCGAAACCGCUACCUUCAGACGAGCAAGAUAACCGGUAACACUAGCGACACAGGAUUCCAGUCGAAGCACAUUCAUGGCAGCCUCGUCGCCGACUGGAGAAAGGAUAGGAUCCAAGCCCGUCUCGACCCGUCCAGUCUCCUCUUCAAAGUUUUGGCAGAAUUCUGCAGAGUCAAGGAGUUAAUGAGUCGACCGGUCAAGACUAACUUGCAAACAGUAAAACAGUCGAGUAAAAAGGGGUACCUUCGAGCAUAAGAAAGAGUUUCUUGGCGAGGGCUUUCAGAUAAGCCUCCAAAUCGUUCCUCCUACGAGUCAUGCUUUCCAGCCGAUCGUUCAGAGCCACUUUAUCUUUUUUCAGACGAGUCGCCUCUCGAUUGGAUUCAGUGAGAGACGACUUCAACUUGUUGAUUUCCUCCUUUAGCGCUCCGUCCGAAGCCAGUUUCUGGUCAGCAAGGGCCGUCUUCUCCCGAGCCUCCUGCUGCGCAGUUGCAAGGUCCAAGUCCUUCUCCAGGGCCAGCCUCAUUUUCUCUGCAAAAUACACAUUUAGAUCAAAUAGAAGAACGAAGGGGUAACUUGAAGGAUGGUCAAGAUAAGCAGUCGACAGACCGUUACCUUCCGUACUAGCGAUUUCAUCUUGAGCCUUCUUUAAGUUCUGCUGAGCCAACUCCAGGUCAAGGUUGAGUUGCCUUUGCUUUUCCUCAAAUUCGGCGAACUUGGAGAUAAGCAUACAAGAUUUCUACAGUGAGUAAAAGACAUGAUCAAAGAUUAUUUAUUUCCAAGUGAAUAAAACUUCAAGACUACUCAGACCCCAACCGACUGCCAGCAGUCGACCGCGGUCUCGGGGACUACACCCAGUGGGUGCACUUAGCGUGCCCCCACUGGUUUGGGUUCCACUCGGCUGGUCCGCCCAGACCAAGUAAAAAAACAAAGAAAGUAGUGCUCAGACCCCAACUGACUGCUAGCAGUCGACUGCGGUCUCGGGGACUACACCCAAUGGGUGCACUUAGCGUGCUCCCACUGGUUCAGACCACACUCGACCAGGCCGAGUGGAAGAGUGAAAAUGAUAAAGAUGACAAAACACCCAGUGGGUGUACAGUCUCGAAGUGCAAGACAAUGCGAGAUUGCGCGAAGGAAAAUAUUCGUGUGGCAUAUCCUAAUAGAACAAGUUCAGCCGGAAGUCAACUUACCUGGACAUUGGCUCGAAGAGUCGCGCUGGCGUCAUAAGCAACCUGACUGCUUUCGUGCACCGCCUUCACCCGCUCCAUCAUUAUGUCAGCCUGACAAAUGGCCUCGCAGCGGCAUUCGACUCGCUUUCUGGAACACGAUGCGUGACAAAGAAGGGGACAUACGGUCCAGACACAGCGGCUUGGAGAUCCGAGGCAUGAAGUUGGAUGGUUGAAGCAAGCGCUGGGGCAGUCGACGAUGCGCGGCGCACACUCGACAUGAGGUCAGCAAAGGUUACAGAAACCUUACUCGCAUCUUCGAGUUGUUGAACUACCGGCUCCGCCGCCGGCUCCGACUGGGAUGUCUUGCCAGUUGUUGCCUUCUUCUUCCUGGGCCUCGGUGGCACGUCCUCUUCAUCAUCCGGAAGCUCAAUGACAUUGGGAAGGGCUGCAAAGAAAUCAGUCGACCCUAGAUGAGUCACCAGAAUUUAAUCGACCAUAUAAUCAAGAACAAGAUCACGAGAGUUGUACCCGGGUUGGAUGUGACUACAUCUUCCAUAUCCUCGUUUUCGUACUAGCGGGUGGAAGUCCCAGAGGUAGCAGCUAUGCAAAUUUCAAUAUUUAGUCGGUCACGUUUGUUUCACCGAGUCAACCAAAGAAUCAGGUCGGAUUAUUACCCAGAGAUAGUAGGAAUGACCAUUUUGAUCUUGGGCAAAGCCUUCGGAGGUUUGGAUGAGGCAUCCCUCGGUGGUUUCGGUGCUGGAGGAGGUGCAACUUUGUAUUGCUUCGGUGUCCUCUCAGUCAUCGACGGAGAGGACGUCCGGGGACGCUUCGAAGACUGCCCAGUCGGUGCGGCCACCAUGUCAUGGAGGCUUUCCAGGUCGUGAGCGUGCUUGGACCUUUUUUCUCUGCGAGGAGGCGAGUCGACCUCUUCUUCGUCACUCGGGUCGCCGCUCUCCUCACCCUCCUCCUCGUCCGAGUGCCACUCGCCGCUAUCACCUCCACUCGCCUCCUCCUCCAAGUCCUGCUCCUGCUCUCUGUUGGGCAUUGAGUACAUCUCAAUAAGAGCCUGAAAGAUAACAAGAAAAGCAAAAGGCAAUCAGUCAUCGACAGGCGGUUACAUGAUUAAUAAAAAAAGUACUCGGCAAUUCAGAGUCAGACCUGGUCUGGCUGGCACGAAUGGUCGAAUGGAGCGACCCUCCUGGACCCCAUGGGGUUAUCCUUGUUGCCUGUGAUGCCUCUCAGCCACUUCUCCACCGUAUCCUCGUCGACCUCCUCCGGGUGGAUCCGAGUGGAAUCUUCAAUGCCCGAGUACAUCCACAUUGGAUGAUCACGAGCUUGGAGCGGCUGGAUGCGUCGUUUGAGGAAUACCUCCAACAGAUCCAUACCGGUCACGCCGUCCCGAACGAGCUGGACCACCCGCUCGACCAACACCUUCACUUGCGCUCUCUCCUCUGGGAUCACUUUCAAUGCGGAGGGCUUCUCAACCUGAGCCAUGGAAAAAGCAGGGAGCCCGGUCGACUGACCUGGAGUCGGCUGGUCUUUGCAAUAAAACCAGGUCGACUGCCAACCUCAGACCGACUCAGGAAGGAUCAUGGCUGGGAAAGUGCUUUUAUUUCUCAUCUGAAUCCCAAGACCCCCGCACAUCUAAAUCACGCACAUUUUCUCGUCACUCGGAUUGGCCUUCUUGACCGACUAAGAACGGCAAGUGAAAAUGUGCUUGAAAAGACCUCAGUGUGGCCUACAACCUAAGAAGUUCUCGCACAUGGACACGUAGGCGGCAAGAUAUACAAUGGAGUUGGGAUUGAAAUGGUGAAGUUGUCCUCCAAAGAAGUUCAAGAAUCCCCGGAAAAAAGGAUGGGGAGGCAGAGAAAAUCCACGGUCAACAUGAGUUGCGAGGAGAACGCACUCACCAUCACGCGGAUGCGGUUCGGUCUCUCCUUCCGAGAGCCACGCCGAUUCAUGGGGAAUCAGCCCCCCCCCUCGACCAGAUCAUCGAUGUCGUCUUGGCUGAUCGUAGACCGGAUCCAGUCGCCCUGGAUCCAGCCGCGCGGCAGGCCGGAUCUCGAUGGGGAUCCACCCCGGUUGUACCUCUUUCCCUUCGCCUUCGCCGUCGCCUUCUUUGCACGCUCCAAGGCCACCGUCUUCUCCUUCCCCAUGGUCGCAGGCGAAGCUCGAACGGAGCAGCGGACCUAAGAGCGAAGAUGGAGAUGGCGGAGAAAGCAAAGGAGAAAGGAGGAGAAUGGAGAAGCGAUGUGCACAAAAUCCAAUCUGGCACCUUAUAUGGGGCCGCUUCCGAGUGGCUGACCUGUGGGGCCAGACGAUCCAAUCAAAUCCCGCAACAGUCGCGCGCGAGGUACGUGGCGAAAAAGGUGGCGCGGUGAUCGAGGCGGUCUCGCCUGAUCUUAUCCGAUUACUGCGGACUCCUCCGUCUCGCGCGCUUCCCCAAAUACAAAAUCCCAUGAUAUCCGCGCGCAGCAAGGCAACCUGUCAGGCGGAGGAUCUUUUCCAUAUCAGCACUUAGAGCAUUGCAGCAAAAUUUCACUCGGCAGAACCAAGAAUGGAUCAAGGCGACUGAGAAGAAGUUGGGAUCAUCAUAAUUGUUCGCUUGAUCGCAAAUAAGACGCUCCCGAAGCACGAAAAUUGAAUCGGAAGAAUUCUCAACUCCUUCUCCACUCAAGCCCCGAACCAUUCGUGGGCUAAUGAUGAAGCUAUGUACCUAGGGUAGGGUCAUAGGCCUGACCUAGACGCCCUCCCCAAGGUCAUCGCCCUAAAGCCAGAAGCAUUCGAAGGGUACCAUCAUCCACUCGACUAGAGACAUUCCACUCGGAAAAAUCAAUGACACUCGACCGUCAUAGUAACCACUCGACGUACAGAAGACCUAAAGCCACUCUACACAACAACGGUCGGGUGUUUACUCAUAGACUUAAUUAUCGUUUAUAUCACUUAAUUGCUGGCGUUACCAGUAACGUUCCACUCUUAAUGUACAUUUAAUCCUAUGUAACGGAGGAGAGCUGGGUCCUGGCACACUCUAUAUAAGCCACUCCCCUCCUCUGGGACAAGGGUUCACAUCCUUUUGUAAACACACACAUAUACACAAUCCAGUCGACCGCCUCCGGGCACCGAGACGUAGGGCUGUUACUUCCUCCGUGAAGGGCCUGAACUCGUAAACUCGUGUGUACAACUACUCCAUAGCUAGGAUCUUGCCUCCUCAUACCUACCCCCAUUCUACUGUCAGUCUUAGACCCACGACACCCCCCCUGCCGGAGCGCCGGGCCGUGGGCGCCCAGGAGGUUCGGCUCCUUCUCUUCUUCCUCGUCCUCCCGCUCCUCCUCCCACUCUUCCGGCUUGCCAGCGCUGUUCGGCGUCAAGGUCGAGCCCGCCGCGGAGACGCCGCUCGGCCGGCACACCCGCAGCGCCGGCAUCGUCAUCAACGAGGGUGGCAGGCGCGCCCCCUCCUCUGCUCCUCCGCGCUUCGUCAAGCCAAAGACGGAGCCGGGGCACACCGCCGUCAAGACGGAGCUGGGGCUCCCCGUCGUGAAGACGGAGCCCGGGCUCGCCGGCGGCGUCAAGGAGGAGGAGCUCGACGACGCGGCGGCCCUCAAAUGGGCGCGCGAUGACUGGGCACAACUGGAACUGGAGCGCCAGCGCGCCGCCUACGAGCGGUUUGAAGCUCGGCGCCGUGGACGGGACGAGGGAGGCGUCGUCGUCGUCGACGACAGCGACGACGACGACGCGCCACCGCCACCACCGGUCCGCCUUGGAGACGCCGGGCAGGGGUCCAGCAGGGACGGCCGCGCUGUCAAGAAGGAGAAGGCUGCCGACGACGACGUCGGCGACUUCGCCGCGCUCAGCGACUUCUUCGCCCUGUAGAUGUCUUUUUUUAAAUAAUUUAUGUAACGCCGAACAUGUUGUAUAUUAAUGUCAGAUUGUCGAAGCCGAACUUUACUGAAUUCAGAUUUUUUAAAAUAAAAAAAAAACCACAUCUGAGGCGACUCUGGAGCGUCGAUUUUAGCGCUGGCUCGCCCCCAGGGGACGCGUAAAAUCGUCGCCUGAGGGCCAACGGCUGGAGAUGCUCUAACAUCAACAAGCAGGUGUGCAUGGCGCGACCAUAACUUGUGAGCCUGGCUCCACUUCCGGCCAAACCGUUCCCGGGCAUCGUUGAGAUCUGCACAUGUGUCCCGGGCAGGGCAAGCUGCGAUGCAAACACGCGGGCCAAACUUUCUCCCUCCACUGCACUAGAACAACUCUGAAGACGAGUCGUGCUCGUGUCCACCGGCCGUGUCGAUGCGUUCGGGAGGGAGCGGCCAUCCGUCCAGUCAUCGGCGUCGCAGACCACGCGGAUUUGUUGUAGCAAUCCAUCCACCUUGCUUGCGCACAAAGUUCUGUUAGCAAGCUUCCAGCGCCGUGCGUGUCCUGGAGCAGCGGACGGUGGCAAUUGAAGCACGCGCGUACGUGGGAUACUACCCUACCCUGCUUGCGGGUUGCGGCCUUUUCAUCUUUGAGAUGACGUACACUCGGACUGCUGCAUCCAUCGUUGGUUGUGACUCGUGUGACCCCAUUGGCAUCGGUUGCGCGUGCGGCGUGCCGCCAUAUAAGCUGGGGGUGCUCAGUGCUCACACGCACCAGCUCCGUCGACACCCCACCAGACACACUCGUACACUAGCUGUAAUAGAUCGAUGGGCAAGCUCGUCUCCGCCGCGCUCCUCCUGGUGCUGCUGCUCGCGGCGACGGGGGAGAUGGGAGGCCCGGUGGCGGUGGCGGAAGCUCGGAGGUGCGAGUCGCUGAGCCACAGGUUCGCGGGCCUCUGCCUGCGCGGCCACAACUGCGCCAACGUCUGCCGGACCGAGGGCUUUCCCGACGGGAAGUGCCGCGGCGCCCGCCGCCGCUGCUUCUGCACCACCCACUGCCGCUAGUAGCCUAGCUGCAUGCAUGCUGGCACCUUUGUGCGUGUGCCGUGUCCGUGUCCAUGAAUAAACCUAAGCUUGUCUCUCCUGGCAGGCCGAGCUGGGUAUAAGAAACAACUUGUGCUUGUGUCCGUUCGAUGUUUGGGUUCGUCCUCAAAGUUGCAGUGAGGUCCCAUGUUUCCUUUCACUUGUGUUGUGCGCGUGUAAGCGUGUUCCCUCGGUCACUCACUUGCUCUGCACACGAAACGACGUGCAUGUCCCAUGCUACUUCCGUCUGAUCGAUGCAUGUUUCUUUGUUUGUUUGAGAAAUGUGUGAUCGAGGCAUGUGUGCAGCAAGGAACGCGACAGCUGACACGUACCCGGCGCUGCUCAAUGCUCAUGCACGAUGGACUGGCCACGCGUAAAAGGUCCCGGCGUCUAGUGGCGCGAAGUUAUAAAAAAAAUAAAUCUGUGGAAACAUGUAUAUGUGCACUACGGAUCCGUGAAAUUUUGUUUUGAAAAAAUGUAAUGUGUAAGCUGUACAGAAAAAAUAUCUGGCCCAAAAGAAAAAAGAGGCCCAUUUGAAAAAUACAUAUUUCUCUUUUCUUUGUACGCCACAUGUGAAAGUAAAAUGUUGUGAAAUUUUGCAAAGGACAAAAUAUACAUGUGAGUGUGUUUACAAAAGAUUCCAAUUUUUUCGGUGCUUCAGCCGCGCUGGUUAAAGGCGUCUCUGUAUGUAAACCAACUGGGCCGACCUAUAACGCAUUGAAACAUUCCUGAUUUUUGUGCAGCUUUGUGGCCACUUAUAGGAAGCUUCUAGAAGCAUCAAACCAUUUUUGGGAAGCUUCUGACCGGAUUUUUCUUUGCUUGCCUUUUUAUUUUCACUUUUCAUUUUCCUUUUUUCUUCAUUCUGCAUUUAAUGUGUUUUAAACACAAAUUAAAAAAAUCAGAAACUUUUUGAAAUCCUUGAACAUUUUCCAAAUUGGUUAUUUUUUUUAAAUUCGUGAACAUAUUUAAAAUCCAGAAGCAUUUUUCAUAUUCAUGAACUUUUCCAAAACUGAACUAUUUUUGCAAUCAUUGUUUUUUCUUUAAAUUUGCGAUUUUUUCUGGAUUCAUGAACUUUUUUCCGAGCCACAAUUGUUUUUUUCAAAUUUGAAAAAAGAAACUAUGUUCAGUCCAAAAGUCAACGGUCAACUGGUCGACCAGGUCAAUCAUGAAGAGUGACUAGGCGUGUGCGCUUGAUGAGUGAGCUGCUCGCUCGCAUAGCUAGCCCAGCCCACACAAGGGGGCACGUGAGCGCUGCCUCGCUACCAAGCGCAACGAGCGCUAAUUAGGAGCUUUGACAGCAAAAACCAUAGCUGGCUUCUCUCUUAUUGACGAAUUGGCACAAAAUGGCCCCUUCUGAAGAAAUCUAAGCCCAAGAGGCCCCUAUAAUUCACCUAUGGACGGACCCCCUUCAGGGGAGGAUUGCGGUUCAUAUAUUAACUUUGUCAGUAUUGUCACAAUUUUAUGAGAACGGCGUUUCGGUGCCCGGGUGCAUCUGCACCCGGUCAAAAAAAAUUCAUAAAAAAUUCAGAAAAAUUCAAAACAUUCCAAUUUUUUUUGGGUGGUAGACAAUUUGAUGCGUGAGGCACGCUUCAAUUUUCAAAACAUUUGGACUUCUGUGCAGCUCUCAGCAAAAAAGAAAAAUCAGACCAGAACAGUAUAUGAACAGUACACAUUAUUACAGACCUACGAUUUGUCUUUUUUACCGAGAGCUGCACAGAAGUCCAAAUGUUUUGAAAAUUGGAGCGUACCUCACGCAUCAAAUUGUCCACCACCCAAAAUUUGUUUGGAUUUUUUUGAAUUUUUCUAGUAUUUAUUUUAAUUUUUUUUGUGAGCGCAGGUGCAGAUGAGCUCGGGCUCAGAUUCGAAUUUUCCCAAUUUUAUCUGCUACUUGUGUCCGACGAUCAAAAUUGGUCCAUAUAUUGUCACAUAUAAAGUAAACUAGAUAGUUGGUUGUGCAUUGUAAUGAGGCGCAAUAUUUUCCACCCAACCGUUGUCAUUUAUCGAACAUUUUAUUGUUAUAUUAUAGUUACAUACUAAAUGUCGCAAUUGAAUCAGUAGUUAUUGAUUUACCAAAGAAAACAUGAUUCUAUUAGUUAAACCAAUAAGGCGUGGACCAGUUGAGGCGGUUCAAAAGAAAAUCGAUGAGAUUUUUUUUAAUAAAACCUUGUGUUCAUUUUAAGUAGGAUAGAUGUUGCCACAUUUUUCUAAAUUGUUGGGCUCAGAUCAGGGGGGUUGCUGCAAAUCAAACAUGCGGCAACUCUAACGAGCUUGCAAAACUGGUUGUGUGACAAAGUAUUGCAAUCUUAUUACACCAAUUAAUUAAAUAUGUCUACAUGCAUCUAGCUGUCACCAAACCAAACACUCGCCUUUUGCCUAUGUGUUUCAUCCCUCAGAUUUUAUUAUGCCACGCACGACUCAAUAUUUUUCUUUGACUUUUUUGCUGUGAUACAUAAUAAUGAUCACAAAAAUAAGCUUUGACUAUAAUAUGGAUUUUCACUAAACAAGAUUGAAAGAGUGAAAAAUCACUCCCUCCUAUAUCUCCAAUCCUCACAUACGCAACGAAUAUAGAUCGGUCUAAGUAUCAGAGCCAAGCAUUCCGAACUAAAAAAAAUUGAAGGAGCGUAAACAUCAAGAACCACCAUCACCCAAAAACAAA
rnacentral:lncRNA from 1 species